UACGGAGGGGGCUAGCGUUGUUCGGAAUUACUGGGCGUAAAGCGCACGUAGGCGGCUUUGUAAGUUAGAGGUGAAAGCCCGGGGCUCAACUCCGGAAUUGCCUUUAAGACUGCAUCGCUAGAAUUGUGGAGAGGUAAGUGGAAUUCCGAGUGUAGAGGUGAAAUUCGUAGAUAUUCGGAAGAACACCAGUGGCGAAGGCGGCUCACUGGCCCGGUACUGACGCUGAGACGCGAAAGCGUGGGGAGCAAACAGG
rnacentral:rRNA from 1 species